GACGAACGCUGGCGGCGUGCUUAACACAUGCAAGUCGAGCGGUAAGGCUCCUUCGGGGGUACACGAGCGGCGAACGGGUGAGUAACACGUGAGUGAUCUGCCCUUCACUUCGGGAUAAGCUGCGGAAACGGGGUCUAAUACCGGAUAGGACGCAUCUCUGCAUGGGGGUGUGUGGAAAGUUUUUUCGGUGGAGGAUGUGCUCGCGGCCUAUCAGCUUGUUGGUGGGGUAAUGGCCUACCAAGGCUUUGACGGGUAGCCGGCCUGAGAGGGUGACCGGCCACACUGGGACUGAGACACGGCCCAGACUCCUACGGGAGGCAGCAGUGGGGAAUAUUGGACAAUGGGCGGAAGCCUGAUCCAGCAACGCCGCGUGAGGGAUGACGGCCUUCGGGUUGUAAACCUCUUUCAUCAUCGACGAAGGCCUCGCUUUGUGGUGGGGUUGACGGUAGGUGGAGAAGAAGCACCGGCCAACUACGUGCCAGCAGCCGCAGUAA
rnacentral:rRNA from 1 species